rnacentral:lncRNA from 1 species
UAACGGACCUUCUUUCAGCUGUCCCUGUGGAGCCAUUCAUCGAGUGGAUAAAGACGAUGUGGGGUUCCUUCUUCUCAGAGGUGACGCUGGAGGAAGUGAAGUCUCUCAGUGGAAAUUUCAAUCCAGCUGAUGUUCUAAGCUACUUGGAUGUCCGACAGCGGGUAGAGUUUAUGGUUACCCCAGAUGUGCUCUCCAAUGUCACUGCAGUUAGGGCUGUUCUAGAGAGCCUGAUGUCCAGCCAGGAUAGGAUCUCCUUGGCCACGAUGGACCAGUUCUUGGCAGAGUUCAACCUGGCUCUCACCAAGGUCAAGAGCCCUGCCCUUCCAACCCACGUGAGACAAAGCAUCCUGGAUAUACUGCUUCCUAGCCUUGCCUUGCACUUCACAGCCUUCUCCGGGAAGGACUAUGAGC